rnacentral:rRNA from 2 species
UGCAGAAUCCCGCGAACCAUCGAGUCUUUGAACGCAAGUUGCGCCCGAGGCCACUUGGCCGAGGGCACGCCUGCCUGGGCGUCACGCCAAACACGCUCCCACCCCUCAUCGGGUGGUGGGAUGCGGCAUGUGGCUCCCCGUCUUGCAAGGGGCGGUGGGCCGAAGAUGCGGCUGCCGGCGUAUCGUGCCGGACACAGCGCGUGGUGGGCGACCUCGCUUUACUUACCGCAGUGCAUCCGGCCCAUAGCCGACGUGAUGGCCUUAAGGACCCUAUGAACGGAGCGCAUGACGCUCCGACCGCGACCCCAGGUCAGGCGGGACUACCCGCUGAAUUUAAGCAUAUAAAUAAGCGGAGGAGAAGAAACUUACAAGGAUUCCCCUAGUAACGGCGAGCGAACCGGGAUCAGCCCAGCUUGAGAAUCGGGCGGCCGUGCCGUCCGA